GGGGGGAAAGAGAGGAGAACAUGGCGGUUCUCCUAUGACCUCAUUUCCGGUGUAUGGUGUUGGGCAGAGAAGGAGGGUCCUCUCUGGAUAUCUUUGAGGGUGAAGAAGGCGCUUUGGGGAGGAGGAAGGUCCUGCAAAUUCAUACCCAUGACCUCCUCCAAAGAAUACAUCCAUCUUUAUCAAUAACUUGGAUGACAGAAUUGGGGGCAUGCUUAUCACAUUUGCAGAAGACACCGAAUUAGGAGGGACAGCUAAUACCCCUGAGGACAGGAUCAGAAUUCAAAAGGACCUGAAAGAUGGGCCAAAAUAAACAAAAUGAACUUCAACAGGGAGAAAUGUAAGGAUUACCACCUAGUCUCUGACUGGACUAACUGAAUCAGCCAACCACCUCCGACUCUCUGUCUUCCAGUCUGAAACUCACUGAACUACUGGAACCUUUGUUUUUUCCUCUCUCUCUCCAGCCUCCUUCGACUGUCUCUCUCUCACACACAAACACACACAAUCACCUUUUAUACAUUGCAAUUCCCCCACAGCCCCUCCUUACAGUCUUCCUGAACUGCACUUUGCUGCCAGGAAGCUAAAUCUGCUUAGCAACUCCCAUCACAAUGGUACUGUUAUUUCCCUCAGUCUAGACACUAUACUCCUAUUUAUGCAGCCUAGAAUCACAUUGGCUUUUUUUACCUGCCGAAGCACAUGGUUCACUCAUAUUCAAUCUGUGAUUCAUAAAGAGUCCAGAUCCUUUUUUGACAUUCUUCUGUCAAGCCAAGUAUUACCCAUUGUUAUAUGUGUGCAUUUCAUUUUUACUUAAAUACACACACAAGGAAAACAUCCAAAUAUUCAGCAAUGCCCUGAGAAUAAUAAAAUGAAUAAACUCUUUCUGGCCUGUAGGAUUUAACUAUGUAUGCCUGGAAAGUGUAUGUGUUUGUGGGGGGAAGAUAUCUAUUUGGGUUUUGAACAAAAUUUAAAAUUUAUAAAUUGUAAGUGUCAGCAUUUAUUACUAUUAGCUAACAUAUUAUGAAAUCAACAAUGAGUGAUUGAAAAAGUAUCCUUCAUGCCCAAACAGACAGACCAAAAUAAAGCUGCUUCAGGUCACUUUGGAGGUAUGCUGUUUAAAUGA